rnacentral:rRNA from 1 species
GAUGAACGCUGGCGGCGUGCCUAAUACAUGCAAGUAGAACGCUGAAGCUUGGUGCUUGCCCCGAGCGGAUGAGUUGCGAACGGGUGAGUAACGCGUAGGUAACCUGCCUGGUAGCGGGGGAUAACUAUUGGAAACGAUAGCUAAUACCGCAUGACAACAGUUAUUGCAUGAUAACUGUUUAAAAGGGGCAAUUGCUCCACUACCAGAUGGACCUGCGUUGUAUUAGCUAGUUGGUGAGGUAACGGCUCACCAAGGCGACGAUACAUAGCCGACCUGAGAGGGUGAUCGGCCACACUGGGACUGAGACACGGCCCAGACUCCUACGGGAGGCAGCAGUAGGGAAUCUUCGGCAAUGGACGGAAGUCUGACCGAGCAACGCCGCGUGAGUGAAGAAGGUUUUCGGAUCGUAAAGCUCUGUUGUAAGAGAAGAACGAGUGUGAGAGUGGAAAGUUCACACUGUGACGGUAUCUUACCAGAAAGGGACGGCUAACUACGUG